GACACAUCAGCAUAUUAACAGUUCCAUAGCCUGGUACCAGCAAAAAGUUGGAAAAGCUCCCAUACUCCUGAUAAGAGAUGCAAGUUUUUCUCUAACAGACACCCCAUCAAGGUUCACUGGGAAUGGAUUUGGCACAGAUUUCACACUCAGCAUCAGCAGUAUGCAGUCUCAAGAUGGUGCCACAUAUUUCUGCCAGCAGCAUUUUCACUAU